GGAUCUGCCGAAUUGGAUUUGCCGAAUCGACAUAAUGCCGAAAUUGUAUUGUCGAUUCGGCAAAACUUGCCGUCGCGCUGGUCCGACAACUGUCUAGUUUGAAAAUGAAUUUUGUUAAAGCGGAUGGUUGCAAUGAAAUGUGCGCCCAACUCCUCCCUACCAGUUUCCCCAGCCCGAAUUUCACGAAUGGAAACGGAAAGCAAAGAGGGAACAUAAAUAGUAUGUAUGUAUAUUAGUAGUUAGUUAGUAUAUUGUAUUGUGCUGUGUUAGUAUAUUUUAUUUAAUAGGCAUUAUUUCGUUUUUCAAGCAUCAUUGUUUCAAGUUAAUUUUCUUUUAUUACAACUAUUUUACUCGCAGGUAAAAUUUGCCAUUUAGGUUAUUUUGUACCCUGCGUUUUCCCUUAUUUUAAGACAAAUUCCGUUUCCUUAUUUGAAUUCCGUAAAAUUAUAUCAUACAUCGCAUCCAGCGGUACAAGUGCUUUCAAUUUAAAUGCUUUGUGUUAAUAAACUGCGUGUCGGCCUUCGAAAUUUUAUUCUUGUGAGAGUAAUAAAAAACAGCUGUCGCGCCAGUACCCAUCGUCAAGUGAAUUAUACUGGAACGCCAGCACCUCUCCGUAUUGUGCAUGGUUAAAUGUAGACGUCACAUACCGUUUUUUUUUAGCCACAGGCCCACAGCACAGCAGCCAUAGCAGCCGCACCACAGCGACUUUGACGGUCGUUUGGCUCAACUGUGCAGUUUGUUUUUUAAGCGUCAUGGUUUGACAGUUCUGUUUUUAUUUUUCUAAAAUGGAAAGAGAGAAGCUCUUAAUAAGAAACAUUUAUUUAUCAGUUAGAAAACGGAGAUGUAGCUGUCAAGACAACUGAAAAAGCAUCAAGCAUUCACAUCCUGGAUAUGGCUACUGGCUCUCAGGAAUUCAUGUUUAUCUCUAGGUUCUUAACCAAGCUUUCCUUCCUGAACACCCUUUGUGGUUAUUGUUGUAGAUCCUGUUAACACUAUUUCAGGUGAUGAGGUGUGUCUUCGAGCCUUCCAACAUACCCUAAGGAUGUCAAACCCCCAAAUGAAGAGCCAGGUGGGGCAUCAAAUCAUCCACUAAAUAACGAUGAAGAUUUUUGUCUGCAAAGGCCUGGAAGCUGCCAAGAACAGCAACUCUAGCACCGCCCCG